rnacentral:rRNA from 1 species
UAGGGAAUUUUCGUCAAUGGGCGCAAGCCUGAACGAGCAAUGCCGCGUGAACGAGGAAGGUCUUCGGAUCGUAAAGUUCUGUUGAAGGGGAAAAAGAGCGGAGAGAGGAAAUGGUCUCCGAUUGAUAUUGCCCUUCGAGGAAGUCACGGCUAACUACGUGCC